UCCCGACUUUCUUGAAGGUUUUUAUUAAGAAAGGAUGCUGAAUUUUGUCAAAUGCUUUUUCUGCAUUGAUAGAAUCAUAUGGUUCUUGUGAACAGCAUCUUCUAUAGAGCGUUGUAUGUACCAAAGCCUUGAUCUUAGAAUGCUGGGGCAGCAAUGAGGUGGAGGCUAGUGUGGGUCAAGGCUACUUCUUGAGAGUUACCUAAGCCUGUAGAUUGACACAGUCUGUGGCAGUCUGGGAAGGGCCUGGGAAGGCUGCUGCCCAUUGGCUGGCUAUCUUCUUAGACUACUGUAUCAGAAGCCACUAGAGCCAGACUAGUGCUUGAUCUCCAUGGGCUAUGGGAAUCCUCAGGCAUGGUUCUCCUCAACUGGAACUGCAAGACUGUGCUAUUUUCUCUUCCUCCUCCAUUCUUGCCCCUGUACAUUCAUUGGCAGGCUCAGGCCUUCAAAUAGGCCUGAGCCCUGGGAACUUGGGCUGCCCAGCUCCACUAGCCUGAAAGCUCUGGUCCAUGAGAACAAGGGUCUUCCCUAUCUGUGUAUUCUACCCUAGGAUGCACUCCAGUCAGAAUUCUUGCUAUUCUGGGGUGUGGGUCCCCUUAGGUUUCCUUUAUUUACUGCUCCUUAUUGUAGCUGUAAGAACUUUAGGGCCAAUGGCUUGACUAAGAAUUGAGUUUGGACUUAGAGUCUGCUGUGCCUUCCUGAACUCUGCUUGUUCAGGCUUCUGUCCAUGCCAGCAUGAUCCUGUCUCUUAUAGCUUGACCUUCUCAUAGACUUCUGUCUCUUCAGUUACAUUCUGAGCCCUUGAAACUCAGGCCUGGCACUUGUUCCCUCAGAAAAAGUAUUCCUUGCCAUUCAAGCUCCAGUGUGCAUGGCUAUAUACCCGUCUCAAGUAGCUGGGAGCCCUGGAGGGUGAUCAUGUAAGUAAUCUACAAUCUUUUCAGAUGAGACUACUCCUUAAAUCAUACACCUUUGUCUAUACAUGACUUCAGAGAAACUUCUGCAAGUUAUACACCUAACCAGCUCUCACUACAUAGAAGCUGUGCUUGAAGAAUGGCUUUCCUGUGACCCGGUCCUUAGAUAUGGACUUGGUAAAUUAGACUACAAGUUCUCCCCAGGUACCAAGACUAAGUCUGUGAAUUCAUCAGUUGAUCAUCCCCCUCUUCCAUCAAAGCCCAGGAAUGGCUUCCUGACCAAAACUGGGUUUGAGAGUUCUCCUCCAGGGAGCAUCUAACUCCUCAGUGGACUUUGAAAUUGUUGGGGGUAUUGAGGGUGCAGGUAAGGCCCAGGCUGUCUGGCAGGUGCCUGUUCAUCACAGUUGUAGCUCUGGAUGUCUUAGCAAGACUACUGAUGAAGUUGUUCUUUCCUAGAACUGGGGGUGGAAAGUCAGGGCAGCAGAGACCAUAUCCAUCUGGAAGAUGGCAGUACAGGACUUGGACAUGGCUUCUGUAACAGCUGCUUCUGGCUGAAAUAAAGAGCCUGCCCCAGGGUUGCAGGGGACUGUGAGAGCAUCUGGGGCUGAUCUUUACCAAAACUGUAGUAAGUCAGUGGCAUGCAGGGGUCAGAGGGGAAAGGUACUUUAGCCUUCAUACCAAAAGGUGGCAUGGGGGCUAUAAAGUCCAGGUUGACCCAGGGCAGGGACUUAAGACCCAUAGACAUCAUCACCUACCUCCCCUACCACUCUUGCCUACACCUGACACCUUAGGUGCCAUAUCUAUGGGAAUGAGAGUUGGCCUGCAAGGUGUGUGUGUGUGUGUGGGGGGGGGGUAUAUGAUGUGCUUGUCUGGAUGCUCAGACUAGACAUGGUAUAUAAAUGGAGUGCAUCUUUUAAUCUUGAGUGACUGUUUGCAGUUGGCUUGUUAGGGGUAGGGUAGUAUCGUGGUGGUCAGAAAAGGUUAGGGAGUCCUAGCAUAUCCAUUAGUCCUAAGGAUUGCCCCCAAAUCAACUAAGGAUCUAUAGACACAUGCUAAUAGUUCACAUGUGGCUUCAUCUCAUGGUAUCUCUAGGCUAGGCACCUGUAAGACUCCCAUAGCUCAGAGGCCCCAACUCACUUAAGCAGAAGAGCUCCAUAGUCCAGGCACAGCAUUAUCAGUUGCAGAGACUAGAGAUAGUACUGGAGAAGGAGACUGUCUCCUUCCCAGACCACAGGACUCUCCAGAAGCUAUGUCUAGAUGCUUGAGUGUCUGGUGUUAAUAUCUUUGAAGAAACUGAGAUACGGAAUUGCUACCAAAUACCCUAGUUUCCAGGGUGUUCCUUGAUCAAGUGACUUGUUGGAAUUAAGUUGCUAACUGUUCUCCAUUUCUCUUCAGGUCAAAGGUAUCAAGGCAAGUGAAUGCCAGAUAAGAAGUUGGUAUGACUCACACGUAAGGGAGCUAUGGUUGACACUAGAGACUUAGGCCAGGGUCAUACCAUGUAAGUUCUUUGAGGCCAAGUUGAAGACUUGGCUGUGUAUCCUUAGAAUGAUAGGAAGCCCUAGAAGAGACUUACAAGGGUAUGGGAGAUAGGUGACCUGAUGAGUUUUAAGAUAAUCAUUGGAGACUUCAUGGAGUCUCAAUGAGACUAGCCAGGAGGUUGGCAUGAGGGUUUGAGUGACUGGUUACAAGGAAAUUUCUUGUGCCUUAGACAAGAGGCCAGAACUUGGCAGGGAAGCUGAGGUGGAAUAAAGUAGAUGGGUUCAGGAUAUGACCAGAAAGUAGAAUUAAACAGGAUUAAGGGAGAAAAGCAGAAAAAAGCUUCUGGUCACCUGGUGCCUUUGAGUCUACAGCAUGACCUUGGCAGAGACGUUGCUCUCUAGAGUCCCUUAGAGGCCAAAAACAUUCAGUGUAGGGCCAUUUUGGUUUGGGUUGCUGGAUUCUCUAAAUGAGGGCAUCCAGCAGGCAGGUAGAACUCAGUCAUUGGUGUACAGCAAUGGUAAAUGAAGACCUGGGAGGUUGAGGUUGGCCCAUGAACCCUGUACACAGACCUCUCCUCUGCCUAGAGUUUACAGCUGAAGGUUCAACAGUGAAGGUGAGAACAGGAAUGUCCUUGGGGACUUGCUACUUAUAGGCUACUGGGGACCUUAGGGAGAAAAUCAAGCUAGGGGUGGAUGGUCAGUGUAGGUCAGAUAAAAUGUUGAGAUGGAGAAGUAUGGGCUGCUUAGCUGGAAGGUUAUAGAGUACAGAGGUUAAGUAUCUAAUUCCAGAAAAAUGAGCCUCUUCCAUAACUAUGGAUGGGAAGUGUCCAGUGGCAGACAAGAUGAAGGGUGGGGAGAAAGUGUAUCAGAUAAGGCCUCCCUACUGAGAGUAGGAAGUGUUUGCUUUAACCUCUCAGCUGUUUAUUGUCCAGUUCCUGUCCCUGCUUUAAAGCUAGAGGUGGUGGAUAGAAAUUGGCCACUGGCAUUGCUCUGCCGAGACCUCCUGGUAUGUGCCUCAGUGGACGUCCAGUCAGGUGGAUAUCCGGGGAUGGCACCUUAGGCAUCCCCAGUAUGUCAAGAGCCCCCUCAGAAGCCCCCUCAGCCUACCUCCUAGGUGGGUGGUGGCUCCCUAAGAGCCAAAGUAUGGGGACAACUUUUUUGUUCCAAAAUCUGGAUGGGCCUCAUUCCAGCUGUGGUUCUCAGGACUCGAUCUAAUGGCUUUUGUCACUCCCUUCCCCUUUGUUAACUGUAGCAGAUGGUGGCAUCUGGGGACCCUAGCUGUGAGCAUUCUGGCUCCUGGCCUGCUCAGUGCUGUAUGUGGAACUUUGUCUUCAGGGUCACCUUACUGCUCUUCUCAAACCUGUUCACCUUCCUUUCUACCUGGGACCUCUGUUCUGGUGGCUGUGGCCUUUGGCAUCAGGGCACUCUGCCUGUAUGUAGUCUCUUGCUAUACCACAUGCUGGGCCCAGACCUCUGUGAGGUCCACUUUGAUCCUAGCUGGGGAUGGGCUCCUUUCUUCAGAGCUGUUUUUUUCUGUUCUGCCUCUGAACCUGGAUUCUUAGCAGUUGUGUGGUUUGCUCCUAACCUACAGGAUGAGGCAUUGUAGGCCAAAUUGGUCUUGUCAUCUUUCCUGGUCCCCUAGACCUGUGGGCCAGGUUCUAGAGGGCAGGAAUAGAUGUGGCUAGAAGUCUUCAUGGCCACUUCCCAGCUGGACUAAUCUGUCCAAGUAUCCUCUCCUUCUGGUCUUUCCUGAGAACUCUUGACCCUGGGAGCUGCUUUAGAAUUUCUACAUAUGGAGAUCCUGGCAUACUGGUCAUGCAGCUCUGUAUGUAUCUAUAAUAUAGACUAAACAGUAGACGGUCAACUUGAGAUGCCUAGAGUUCGUGAAAACCAUGAGGGAAAAUUAUCAAUACUGUAGAUACUUGGUCCUAUCAGAAGAUUUGGCUGUAAGUGUUCCCCUUGACCAGGGGGCUUCUACAAGAUCACAGCAGAUAAGCAUUUAGUGUUCACUUGGACAGAGGCCAGGCCUAGCGCAUAGCCUAGGUCAGUGCUAUUUCAUCCUAGGUCUUCCUAGGAGCUGUUCUACCCAGCCUUACUUUGCUUGGAAUCAACAGCCAAGGUCACUUAUGAUUCCUUAAGCUGUCCCACAGGCCUUCUAAGUCUGUUACCCUACAACAUGUCACCUGUGGUCUUGUUCUUCAACCUGAGACUUUCUAGAUGGUCUACCUUCUACAGUAACUCUGCAUGUGUGACUGGACACAGGCUGUCAUGACCUGUGGUACAGACAUCACAGUCUGUGCCUUUAGGGAAGCCAGUGUAAGGAGUGACGGGUCACAGGUAGCAUGUGACUGUUCUGGGCUGUGAAAGUGGCAUGGGAAUUAGGCUCCCGAAUCAGGGUUCAGAACUGCAUCUCUUCUCAGGAAAGAACAGCUUAGUGGAGGCCUCUAGUAGAAAGUAGAUCUGCCUAGCUUCCUUCAGGGCUGGGGGUGCUAGUCAAUGCCAGGUGCCCCUAGCUGAGUAUUACUGACUUGAAGCCGGAAUACUCAGGUACCCACUGGGCUGCAGGGCCAUGUGUUCUCAAGAAAUGUAUACUGUAUAUGGCAGUGUCCCCCUCAGGGGACAUGUGGCUUAGGCUUUCAUCUUCUGUUCAGCCUCACUGAUUCUCCUCUGCCCUCUCCCGUAAGUGCCUCCCCUUGAACAUGCCUCCGGUUGCUUGGGGCCUAUGCCCGUGUGGGUUCUGGAUUGCUCACAGCCCUGCCUGUUUCAGGUUGGAGCCAUGGUCCUGGGAUCAAGCCUUGGACUGCCACCUUAUACCUUUAGCAUUCUCUAUCCCCAGGCCCAUACAGACUCCUUACUAUACCUGAAGAAUAUUCUCUGGGGCCCUUUAUUUUCCUUUGCCUUCCUUCUUUCUAGGAGCUCUGAGGUCCUCAGGCUUGUCUGACAUUCAGUCUGUGGUCUUGUUUCUAGACUCUUGACCAAGACCUUCCUGUUGCCUCUGAGGUCUCUAACUUUCUUGGUCUGGCUGGGGCUGCCCUCUCAGGCUGGUUUGGCUCACCCCUUUGGCUUUGCUGCCAGCACCUGUCCUGUGAUGAUCAAGAUCUCUGAAUUCCUCCUGGAAGACUAGGGUCUUCUCCAUGAACAUCAAGUCGAAUGUACCAGUUUCACAGCAAGACAGACUUCCCUUCCAUCAAGGAGUGAGACUGCAUUUCCUUGAGUUUAUAGGGAGAAGCAGCAAGCUAUAGCCUUUCUGGGAUCACUGGUUCUCCUGAGUGGCACAUGAAUAUUUCCAGAGAUACUAGGUCAGGCAGUGCCCGGGGGUCCCAGCAGCUGGGUCUGUUGGCCUGGGCUGGCCAGGGAGGUCCAAGGCCCUGAUCUUAGCCCAGGGGUCUAACGGUAUUGUUAGCAUAAUAUGGAGAGGAGAGGUGGAGACAGACUGGCAUCCCUUUGAGUCUUAAGCCUUCCCUACCCUCUUCAUAGCCUCAAAGGAGUGGUAUGGAGUAUGUAAUAAAGAACAGGGCCUGGGAGGACAGGGAGAGCUGAGUUAGGUACAUAUUUCCAUGGUAGAAGGCAGCUUGCUUAUGGCCUUUUAAACUUGCAUCUCCAGGAAACCAGCAUUACAGGCCUGGAGAGUUCUGGGGAGAUAGGACCUCUGCAGGCUACUUCUGACCCCUGUGUUGAGGAAGUGUUGAGGUAGGAACAAUGCCUCAGGCAGAGGGCAUCAGUGGAGUACAGAUGACCAGCAGAAGGAAGGGGAUGGCAUCUUCCGGGAUCUGCCUGGCUGGACCCAGGCAGCUUUUCUGGGGAUGGUGGCAUUUGUUUCACAGGGUAGAAACUGGAGAAGGGGGAGGAUGGAUCAAUAGGAUCCAAUGUGUUUGCAGUUCUAAGGUCUUUACAUAGGCCUGAGGCCUGGCCUGAAACAGAAGAGUGGAACUGUCACAUGAACCAUGGUUGCUAAAAUUAGUGUCAAAGGGCCUGAGCCAGAGGGCUUGUGGGCAAGAUUGGGACAAUUGGGUCCAUCUAAGCAUCUCUCCUGAUCCCCAGCCCUAACAUUUGUUGAAAUGUUAGUGUCCCAGUCAUGCUUCCAAACACCAAAAUGUAAUCGCCUGGGAGGUAGAAAUAGGCUCCUGGUGUCAGACCCUCUUCUGUAAAGGGUCUCAGCACAUUUCUCCCAGGUGCUGUGGCCUCCCAAAUUUUCUACUUUUCCACAAGGAGAUCAUGGUGCUAUUGUGAAGCAGAGACCACUCUGUAUCCAGUGAAAUCCUGGCAGGAUAGGAAAUCCCUAUCCUCCAGCCAUCCUGAAGAUGCUGGCUAGAGCAGGUCCUGUAUCUCUAGCAGAAGGGCAGCUCUGAGCGAAGUCUGUCCAAGCCAUCUUCCUCUCCACUCCACCGGAGAUCAGGCUAAGGCCACGAGUGCAAUAUCCCCUGAAACACAUGGGGGUACCUUCUCUUCUCCCCAGUCUGACCCUUUUGUAGAGAGAUGGGGGGAAAUGUAAAGGGAGGCUAGGCAGGAAGGAGGACCAACCUUCUACAGACCUGAGGAUGGUGACCAGGAUGGUGAAAGGAAGUGGGGCCAUCUUAGGUGGCCUACCCCUGUCCCCCACCCCGUCCCACCCCUGUCCCCCACCCCGUCCCACCCCUGUCCCCCAACUCACGGACCUUGUUUGGAGCCAAGCAAAAAUUGCUGGCCUGAGGCACUUGCAGCUAUGAGAAGCCACUAGAAUCUUCCAGAAGCAUUGUAGAAGGCAUUUCAAGACCAUGAUCUAUGUCCGUCCUUGAACCAGAACUUGUUUUGGGGGACUGGAGCCCACUGGGCUUGGAUAGAGGCUCCUGGUCCAUAUUGCAGGCAAAGCACAGUGUAUCACUUUGGUCAGUGGCGGCCCUGCAGCUGGCUGUCACAUCAGGACACUGAACAAGUGUAGCUUGGAAUAAACAGUACAUUCCUCAACAGUCAUUGCUAUGGAGCUUCCAAAAAUCUUCUCAGCAGGCAUGAAACCUGCACAGAAGGAAAGAUUCCUAAUUCUCUCUUCCUGUACAUGGCGAUGGACACAUCCUUCUGCUGGAAUCUGGGACAAGCAGGUGACUGAGCAAACUCUGCCAGGCUGGCUCCUGUAAUGGCUGUGGCCUUCUGGCCACAGACAGACGUGCUGAGAAGGCUAAGUCCCCUCUGCUUCCAGGAUUUGCAGCCCUAGUGUGGACUUGCACCUGCAUUACACACUGGGCUCCUGAUCUGUCCAAGAACCCACUGUUUCAGACUGUGAACUAAUGUCCUAGAAAACUUCAGCCUGGACACCUCCGAUUCAUGCUAUCAGAAGUGACUUUUCAACUCUGGCCAGAGACUUUCUCCGUAUGCUAGUUACUGUCCAUGGAGGUCUAUCCAGCAUGCCCUGGCACCCUGCUGGUGAACCUCAUAGCUCAGACCUCUGUGUGGAAGCUGACCUUUAUCAUGGUGGUCAUGAUGUGGCCUCAGGAAUGUAUGCUCAGUGACUCUGGGCAACAAACCAGUAGGAUCUAGAGGUGUGGUGCAGGCUCUGUUGUUCAAGUGUGUCCUCCCUAGAUCUGGAAUAGAAGCCAAUGGGGCAAAGCUUCCAGGACUUCAAAUGAUCUUCUCUCUAAUAGACCUGUGCAAGGGGCUCAGCUCCAGGCAGCAGUGGAAACAGCCGCAUCAGCGUUCCAUCAGUGGCACCGGAUGCAGUAUCUGGUGUUCAGUGGUGGGGGCUGAGGUGUCCUCAUGAGACAGGUCUACUGGUUGACCUCGGAGCCCUAUCCUCCAGCCAUCCUGAAGAUGCUAUAAACUACCCCCAGCCUUCAUCGGGAGUCUGGUUUUUUUUUUUUCUGCUAAAUGACCAGAAUUGGUUUUGUUGCUAUGACCAAGAACCCUGGCAGCAAGAACCAGACCUUAUGGGAAGCACACUGGCAUGCUGGCCUAGUUGAGGCUGAAGGCAGUGAUGGUCCAGUUGGUAUGAAGGGCUGAGUCUCAGCCUGUGGCAUAUGGAAUGAGAUGCGUUUAAAUCUGUCCCGUGACCACUCCAGCUCUGUCUUGACUAGCUACACCUUUCAUGCUGUUCCAAGGCAGUAGUUUGUCCCCCAAAGCCACACUCUAAUGGAUGUACUGUUGUUGGGCCAUCCUUCUAUCUGCUAAUCAGUAAUAAGCACAAUACUUGGUACAUGGCUUUGAUUUUUUUUGAAGAUAGCGUAUGCUGUUUGCUCCGGCUUCAGUGGUGACCUGAAGGUUGACUUUGGCAUCCAGAACGUGAAGAGUUGCCAGAAUGGGAUAUAGUUGAGCAGCUCUGCUCCUUGGCUCCCAUGACUUAGAAGGAUGUUGGUGUCCAAGUGUCUGUAGUCAAUUGAGAUGCUCUAUGGAACUCUCGGCCAGCUCUAGUUAGAGAAUCUCAGUGGAGGCCCCUAGGGUUUUAGAGCAAAACUAGGCUGCCUUCUGCAAGUAACUGCUCCUGAAGUGGAGCUUGACCUGCUCUUUGGUUCCUAGUGGAAAGUGAAUGCUGCCUUAUAUGAGCCAGGUGGUUGUUGAUGUACCCAGACAUCAUUGAGCAUGCCCAGUGGCCCAUCAAAUAGAAGUCUUGGGACCUACUUGGGCCCUAGAUCUUAAGAAAACCUGUAAAUUACAUGAAGAGUUGGCUAACAGAAGGACUAUACCUGUCACUGCCCAUCCCUCAAUCCAUACCUAGGACUCCUAGAGAAAACCUAGACAUUGUAAUCAGUGCCAGACAACAUACUGGUAUCAACUGGAUAUAAACUAUGGCACUAUAGCCCGUUCAAGGGGACCAUGAAGGACCACAGGGAAGGCAUCUUAACAAGUAGGACUUCGGGCAGGCCAUUCUUUUUUGCCUAGAAAGACACAUGCUCUAAAAUAUCUAAUGUAGAUCUGUUGUCAGAUGCUAAGAAUGUGCCUGGCUGAUCAUGGACCUAGAAGAAGCAAGAUUACAUGAUUAGUGACAGAGGCUUAGGGAGGAGGCACAUAGGUAGAAUUCCUAGAAUGGACCUAAAGCAUGGAGAUAUCCCUUGCAAAUGCUCACAAAGGCCCCACUCUGGAGGAUCUCCAUUAGAUGAACCAGGGGGUCUGCAUUUAAACCAAUAAGUUUCCCUCAGGUGUCUAAGUGCUUGCUUAAUGGACUCAUGAAGUGCUACAGGAGCAAGAACCAGGUUACAUAUAGAUCACCUUGAACUUGUCACAAAGGCUGAACUGACAUCUGUUAAGAGACCACUUGCCAGCAACAGUGACCCUGGACCCCUGAUAAGCACCUUAAACUUGGGAGAGCAGCCAACUACCUAAUGUUGGGCUCCCUUCACUGGAAUCCUAUCAUGGAGCAGGUGGCUAUUUGCUACCAGAAAAGAUCCAUAACUAGCAUUUACAACUUUCCCUGGCCAAGAAAUAUGUCAAAAUUAUUCAUGAAUUUGGAUGUAACAUUCAGCGUUGUCCCCGUGCUGCACUGCACAUGAGGAAGGAACUUGCUUCUUAGCCUAAAUCAAUAGGCUGAAGCCCUUUGAAUUCUCUGGUGUUAGCAUACAUUUUCUCCCAGAAGGUACUGGCGUUGUAAAAUGUUGAAAUAGUCUAUUGACACUUCUAUCACGGUACCACCUGGGAUUCACUGCCUUGGUAGGCUGGAAAACUGCCUUGUAGUAGGUCUUCUAAACCAGAGAUGAAGGUUAUGGUGUUUUCAUCGCCAGACUGCUUGGAUCCAGGUAUUAUGUGGCAGACGCGAAAAUGGUACCUCCUAACAUACCCUCCAAGGUUCCAUUCUGAAAACUUUUGAUUGCUCUUCCUGGAUUUCUGGGCUUGGCUAGUCUAGAAGCCGGAGUAAUUAGAGGAGAAAGACAGCACCAGAAGAACCUCACUUCUUCAUUGAAGUGGAGGUAGAGACAGGGUCUGGUGGUUUCUUUGCUAUGUGAAGCAGGCAAAUAAAGGUGGGGGGUGGCGGUGGUUGGUUUCUAAUGUGGGCUGGGGUAAUCGACUGUCAAAACAAGAUUCCCCUGUGCAGGAGAAGGGGGGGGGGAAGCAUGGAUCCAACCCAGGGAACCCUCCAAGGAAGCUGGAAAUGUUCAGGCAGAGUAGUGGGGUCUAGCAGCCUCACACUACUGGUGCUACCAAGGGUAUACUCCCCUCUGUACUGACAGUUUGGAUCAUUCCACCAUCUAAAUAAUCCAGGCAGCUGAAGUGUUAGAGGAAGGGAAACAAUGGAGUUGGUUUUGGAAGAUGGAUCCAAAUAACCUUGGCCUUGUAACCUUCCUAAUAAAAGUCCUGAACAGUGAUCUGUAUUUAUCCCCCUUAGAGGGACUACCAUCUAUCUCCCUUUAUAAUGUAUGUUGGAGAUGGAGGGUACCUUUUCAGUCCAUAAGUCACAAUAUCUCAACACGAUGGGAACAGAAUGGGUAUCUUAUACUGGACUGAAGCAGAAUGUAGCCCACAUGGCUGCUCCUAGAACUGGGGGGAUAGGCAUCUGAGUAAUAAUGUCGUCAUAGUCAAAGUAUAGGAGGAAGAGUAAAUAUUGAUGUUAGGUGGUAAAAGGGGUAGACUUAGUGCAUACUUAAAAAUAUCUCUUGGCUGUGAAUUUAUAUUCUUUCUAUCUGGGUAUUUCCUUUCCAGAUGCGUUCAUGUCUUCCCAUCAUAGAAAUGGAAGUGUCUUAAACUUUCUCAGCUAAUUUUGUAACUCAGGCUUGGAGGUGGUGGUGGUGGUGGGAUCUUGAAGCAGUUCUAGGCUGUGCUCUUUGGGUGGGGUUUCUGGCUGAGCCCUGUUCUCUGGCCCUGAGUGAUUAUUCAGACUUACAUGUUCCCUAAUAAAUUUUCUUGCACUUAAAUCAGUCUGUUUCUGAUAUGGCUAACGUGGAACAAAACUUGGGAUGGUCUAGAUAUGUGUUCUUUGGCCUUGACAGGGCCAUUGCCCCAUUCCCUAAAUGGGCUGGAGGCCAGCCUAUCCCUUCCAGCCUGUGUGCCCUCUGGCUCUUACCUCAGAAGCUGGCGCCUCUUGAUUUGUUAUUUAACCUUGAUACUUACAUAGUCCACAUCUGUAGGGUCAUGGUUUGAUCUGCUCCUGAACCUGCUAGUAUGGGUGUAUGACUUUAUGUGGUCUUGAAAUGGGAAAGCUACCUUCAGAAUCUCCUGUCCUGCUGAUCUUGUACGGCAGGUAUGCUCAGAACCCCUCCUGAUCGCCAGGCUCAGGGUCCUAAGUGCCCUUCACUUUUAACCUGGAGAAAGCUUACCAGGGCAUACGUGAAACCCAUGUCCCUCUUGUCCUUGAUCAUUCUGGGUUUCGGGGCUCUUCCAAUCCAGAGGCCUUAUUCCUGACUGGAGCCAUCCAGUAGAUGCACAAUCUUGACUGCAAGAUGCUAAGCCCUUCUCCAAAGCCAGAGGAGCAGAAAUGGUCUAGUCUAGUCCCCUUCUUAAGGCCCCUGUGGGCAGCUUGGGCACCAAGAAUUCGGUACUUCCCUAUAAGACUCCCCCUUCUCUCAAGUUUAUUCUCUCAAACUUACUAAGCUCCUACUUAAGUCUGUGGGGUGUGACUGGAUUUGAUCAGUCCUGUUCUAGAUGACUUUGGUGGCAGGUGGGGCAAAAGGGCAUCAAGUGAAUUUAAUAGGCUGGUGCUGAACCUGAUGGGCCAGCCUCAGAAUAAAGGCUCAAGAUAGAACACUGAAUAAUAUCCUCUUUGUAGGCCCAGAAGUAGGGGAAGUCCUGCACAAAUUCUCUACCACUGCUUGCCUUCGGUCUGUGCAGGGUUACUGCAAGAGCUCCCUAACUGGUCCUCGGGUUUCUAUUCUCCUUGCCUGCUGUCUGUCCACCAUAGUUCAGUAUAGUUGUCCUAAGCUCACACCAAUGUGGUUCUCCCUGAUGGAGCCUGUGGCCCCUUGUGGAAACACAGGUGCUUUGUUCAGCAGGGCCCUGGAUACCUCCAGUAACUGGUGCUUUCAGGAACUGCUGUCCUGCCUCUAUGCCUUGUUGGGCUGUUCCCUCUGCCUAGAAUCCAAGGCAGCCCUGGUGCCAAGGAAGCAGGAACACGUACCCUCUGUUGGGUGUGAAGUUUGGGAAGACUUAAUUCCCUUCAGACAGAGGAAAGUGGACCGGCAGAUACUUUCCUGCGUCCCUAUCCCCAAGAGAGCCUCUACCCAGGCCACCACAAGCUCCCUAGUGUCUGCUCAGGGAAACUGAGGGUGAAGAGGAAGGAAGGGACUUUAUCAAGAGGACCCCAACUAAAACUCAUCUGGCCCUUAGGAUGCUCCCUGGGGCUUCACAUGCCUUAGCUCCUCCCAUCUUCCUGAUAACACCAUGAAAGGUACUAUUGUCUCAUAAAUGAGGAAACAGGCUCAGAGGUUAAGCAAUUGGCUUCCGUUUCUUUAGUUGGAAGUGGUAGGGCUAAGAUUUGAUUUCAGAAGGGUUAGUUGUAGGUAUUCGUGAUCUUUGGAGAAAUAGAACCCAUAGGAUAUAUACAGCUUUACUACGAGGGACUGGCCUACACCAUUGUGGAGACCAAAAAGUCCCGUGGUCUGCCAGCUGGGGACUCAGCUCGGCUGGUCUGCACUUCCGGUCCCCACCUGAAAACCAGGGGAGCUGACGGUGCUAGUCCUGGCCUAAGUCCGAAGGCCUGAGACCCAGGAGUGCUACUGUCCAAGGAUAGGCGAUGGAGGUUGCAGGUCAAGCAGGGAGCAAGGUUGGCCUUCUUCUGCCAUUUUGUUCUAUCCAGGCCCGUGAGGGGCUGAAUGGUGCCCACUGGCAUCGGUGAAGGUGACGGUCUUUAUUCAGUCUACAGACUCAAAUGCUGAUCUCUUCUGGAAACCUUCUCCCUGAUGCACCCAGAGAUGUUUUGCCAGCUUUGCGGACAUCCCUUAGCCCAGGCAAGCUGAUAUAAAAUCAGCUAUCACAGGAACCUACUUUCCCCCAACUUUAGGAAUUCAGCCCUUUUGAAAGAGUUUUAUAGUGAACACCCAUCAAUAGAUUGUUUGAUUGCGUAUCUAUGUAUCUCCCACCACCCUUCAUUCUUAUUUUUGAUACAUUUAGAAAUAAGUUGUAGACCUUUGUAUACUUCCCCUAAAUUGAGAGUAUUAGCUGGAAUUUAAUACUUUGUUCUCUUGAUGUAAAAUUGACACAAGCCGACACUUUGAACCACCAGGCUCUCUCUCUGUGCACAGGUAGCACGAAACAGACAAGGUGGUCAUUUUGCUAAUGUUUGCUGAAUUUCCACACGCGGGAGGAUCUGGGGUUAUGCAGGCAGAUAAAAGCCACUGCUAAAGGAGCUCACGUGGAGUGCAAAACUGAGCAACACUCAGGAACAUGCAAAUGCAGUUCCCAGGGGUCAGAAGUCUGUAAUGGAUGCGACUAGGCUAAAACGUGGUGUUGGUGGGGCUGCGUCUCUGGAGGAGACCCUGUUUCCCUGCCUUUUCCAGCAUCUGGAGGCUGCCUGCAUUGUGGCUCGUGGCCUCCCUGUGCCUGGGACCUUGGAGGCUGGCAGCGGCAGCUCUUUCUCACGUGGCCCCACUGAGUGAUCGGUGACAAAGACACUCGGGGAAGGACUCUGCUUUGUACUCUUCUGGGUGGUAAACUCUGAGGGCGAGAACCUUGUUGCCGUCACUAUGGCCGUGUGCCCAGCGCACGGUAGGUGCUCCAUCACUCUUAAGUAGAUGCCACCCGGACAGUGGUCACCACAUGACGAGACUGGCUGCGUUGGAAGGGAGAACCCAGUGUCAGCACGCCAUAGUUCUCAGCUCUGCCCUCUGUGGCUGUGGCCUUGGGCAAGUGCUUUCAGUGCCUGGAGUUGGAGUCUGUGGGCACAAAAAUGGUGUCUCUUUUGUAGGUGUGACACAGAAUUCAGGGAAAUGGUAAGUGGGCCAGCUCCUGGGGAAGUGCUUGGUCAGUAUUAGUCCCUUGUUCCCAGCACAUAGUAACCCCACACGAGCUCUGACAGGGAGAGGGCUUUGGAGCCUGGAAUCCAGAGGCCCCCUGGGCUCCUUCCUCCGAGGACCCCAGGCCACUCCUGUUGAAGGAGGAUCCGUUUAUCCUGGGCGUCACGGUAGGGGUCACCUCUGCACCGACUUUGCAAGGCAUUUGAGGAUUGACAGGUUGAUGAACACAGACGUUCUCCCACGUUCUGGCAUUUCAGCCCCUGGCCUGGGCCCUGCCGCUCUAGUUUGAAAGAGCGGGCCCGUGACUCCGCUGGCUGCUGCUUCCUGAGGUGGCCGGGCACCCAGGAGGACCCACACUGACUGCGGGCGGGCGAGCCUAGGCCACGUGGGCUGCCAGCCACCCAGCGUCCCGUCUGGCGGUCUCCAUCCUCGCCUCACACCUCCACUGCCUUUCAUUUUCAGUUCUGAUUGGUUUUCUUGUUUUAACACAUACCCCAGGCCCUGUCUUUGACCCCGGUGAUGGAUUCAGCCGCACUCUGGGACUCCAGCUGCCAAGCGCGUCUGGAGCCGCUGGGGGUGGGAGGCACGGGGGGUGGUGGAAAUUAUCGUCCACGUUCCAGGCUCAGCGGGGUGGGGAGGGGCACCCUCCCCAGAGCCAGGAGGCAGCUCGUGGCAGAGCCGGAAGGGGGCUGGGAACCGUCAGGCUCUGUCACCAGCGAUGGAUUUUCCCUCUCCGGGCCUCCACCUUCCCUUCUGUACAGGGGAGUGCGGUGGUUAGGAGAGUCCGAGUCCUCGGAUAAAUAGCGCAUUGAUUUUCCUUCGUGCCGCGCUCCCGGUUGUGUCUGCUCUAAACAUCGGCCUGCUGCUGGCUGGCCCUCCAGAGAACGAGCCCAGAGCUGGCCCUAAACUGCCGGUGCCCUGCUGGACCUUGAGGGAGCCGGAGCCCUCCGCCAGGGUUCUUGUACAGAAAAUGAUAGAUGACAGGUUGAGGGGGGCUGUACCCCAGCCACGUGGAGGGGGCAUUUUGGCCCAUCGGAUGUUUGGUGUGCCCAGCGGUUAUUUGGACACGUCCGGAUGUCCCCUUUUUACCCAGAUGUGUGAUUGCGGGCUCUGUGAGCCUGGAGACAAGGGGGAGGGUGAGACUGGAGGUGGGGGCGCUAAGGUUUCAUGUUCUCUCUCUCCCUCCCCUCCUGCAGCUUUGUGGUUGAUUUACUCUUUCUUUUAAAGCCUGUAACAAAUAUAUUGUCACAGAUGAAAGAAUGCGGUGAUAAAGGGAGCAGUUACACACACACCUGGCGUAGUUUUUACAGACUGAAUGUUUGUGGUCCCCUCCUUCCCCGUUCAUAAGUCCUAACCCCCAAGGUGGCUGUACGUGGAGUUGGGGCUUCUAAGGAAGCAAUUGAGGUUAAAUGAGGUCCUAGGCUGGGGCCUUGAUCCUAUAGGACUAAGCAUCCUUCUAAGAAAGGACACCUGAGCAGUUCUGUCCCACCCCUGGACCCCCUUGCACUCAGCGAGGAAAAGCCAUGGGGAGGACCUAUCCAGAAAGGGGACAUCAGCAAGCCAGGAGGAGCACUCACCAGAUGCUGAGUCAGCAAUACCUCGAUCUGAGACUUCCAGCCUCCAGGACUGGGAGAAAAUAAAAUGUCUGUUGUUGAAGCCACCAGCCUAUGGUAUGGUGUUAUGGCAGCUUGAUCUAAGAUUCUCAGAUAAUGUGUGUCUAAAUAGGAUCGGGCGUCACCCUGUAUCUUGUGGCUGUCGAGGCCAUGGGACACUUGCAGGCGUCAUUCAUUCUGAUGGUUGUCUCACGGUGAAGAGAAACCCACCUACAGAUACGCCUCUUUCGCUAUGGGCACAGGCUGUACUUUCUCCCCCUCGUUCGUCCACGACUCCCCUCCCCGCGCCCCCCAUCGUUCAGGCUCCGCACAUGUGGGAAUAAAGCCUCAGUGGAGAGUCAGGAGCCCAAGUUCUUCUAACACCGCCACCAAUUGGCUGUUUGACGUUGGCCAAAUUGUAGCCUCAGUUUCCCCAUCCGUGAAGAUCUUCUGUGUUGGCAGACUAGGAGUCGAUAUUUUCAGGUGUGUCCCUGAGAGGGGCUGGGGAGGGUGUUCCCCGCGGGUGAGCAGGGUCCAGCCUCACCUCAGGGAUGAGGACCCGGCAGUGCAGGGGGCCACUGACCCAGGGCAUGGGGAGGAAGCAGCGGGCCCCCCACCUCGCAUCAGUCUGGAGGGGAGGUGACCUCCUCCCCUCCACAAUCUGGCAGCUGUCCCGAGCAGCCACCCCGUCCUGUGUCGGGCCACAGGAAUGAGUUUGAUGACCUGGCCUCCUACGCCAGUUCUCCCUCUAGCUGUGGGGCUUCUGGAAAGCCUCUCUGAUCCUCAUUUAAUUCAUCCUUCCAGCUGGAGCGCUGGUGGUGCGGGAUGCGAGGGGAUGGUUAUGAAAGUGCUUUGCAAACUGUGAAGUGUGAUUUGGGCAUUUCAUUCUUUUCAGACCCUGAGGCAGCACAGCCGGGGCCUCACCUAGGAUCCAGGUGGCUCAUGUCCUCCCUGCUGCAGGGUCUCCAGCAGAGUCUGUGAGAAUCACCCCGGCCCCGGCCCCGAGCCCUCGCAAGCCCGCAGGAGGCUAAGCUCCGGGCUGGGGGGUGCCAGUGAGCCAUCACACAGGCUCCUACUUCCUGGGGCCCUGGUGUCUGACUGGAGAAGCCAGCUCUGUACCCAUGACAGAGAACUGAGAAGUGUGAGCUGUGCAGCUCUGGGGGCCCAGCUUCCAGAAACUCGAGGAAAGGGAAGGGCAGGGAGGCCAAGACAGCUUCCUGGAGGAGGGAGCGCUGAGCGAGGGUGUGAGGGGCAAAGGGGGGGCUCCGGCUGGGAGUGGGGGAAGCAGGUGCAUCCCAGCCUGCCUGGAGUUGGACAGGCCCAUGGAUGUGAUCAGAGUUGGGGGGGAGGGGCUGCUCUUCGAGCCCUGGGACCUGGGGUGCCUCGGGCUUGUAGGGUCGGGACGCGGACCCUGGGGGUUGCCCCUCAGCAGGGCUGUCCUUCUAUCACUUGUGCAAGUGAGUCAUUCCCUGUCCCUACGUCCUGUCCCCUCAAGGGUUCUCUUCCAGGAAGAGGUGUGCUUCCUCCCGCCCUCCUCCUGGGGCACUUGUACAGAUCCUGCCAGAAACCCUCAGCCCAAGUCAGUAGAAAAUGGCUGAAAUCCGUGAGUAGGAAGCAGCAAGAGCGUGUUGUUUAGAAAGAUGUGCCACCUGAAGGAACAGCUAAAAGCGUUACACACGGCGACGUCCGGAGAGCUGGACUGAGGGCGGGCUCAAGGCGGGAGGCUGUUCUCAUCGAAGCCUAUAGGCACUGGUUUUUUAACUUCGACAAAAAUGAAAAACCAUUUAACAAACCUGCUUGCCCAGCCCAAAUUCUUAUUGCACUGGAAGUCCAUCUCCUGCUGUCCUGUCCCCAGGGACAAACGGGUGGGUAGUGGCUUUGGGGGAUUCCCCUGAGACUCCCAUGAAUGACCGUGGGGGACGUCACUCCCCCGAACUUGGGGCUAUCAUGGCAGAACGAUUUGCUUUGGUCUCCUAUGCUCCGAAACCUGAUCACACAAUGGAGGACCAGAGCUCCAGAAUCUUCAGGGAGCCCGGGCCAUGCUGGGACAUGGGGGUGCUGGGCCCCAGCCCACACCACCAGGCCUCAGUCCCGGAUCUCCGCGGGCCGGCCGGCUCAUCUCGGGCAAGUUACGAA